CACAAUUGGAGAAACUGGUUAUUUUACCAAGGCUUUGACUGGAAUGAUGUGCUUUCCUUUAAGGAAUCAAACUUGACUUGUAGAGCCAGUAAAAGCCCUUUGGGGAACUGGGCUCAUACCUUGCCUACAACAGUCCCUGUACAUGGUUUCUUAUCUGUGUUUGUUUCUGCAAUUUAGGCUAACCCUGCUUAUUCCUGUGAACCAACCAGUGAUCUCUGACUGCUGCUCAGAAGAAACAAGAGGGAUAGGUAAUAUAAAAAUCUGGAUCAAUAUUCUUAUUCUGGGCACAUUGCAAUCAGCUAGCAACCCCAUAUCAUCUUGGUUUCAACAGUUGCCCAGUUCACAGAAAGCCUUCUAAUUUAGUUUACUUUGAAUAACUUUACUUAUUUUGUCUCACUGUUGUGAAAUGUAUUGCUGUUAUACUCUGUGUAGAAAUACAGGACAAGCUUACUGAAUGUUUCCUUAAACUAAACACUCCUUAAUGUUCCAGAUACCACCUUUUGUUGAAACUCAAGAGUUAUAAAGGGACCUUACCAUACUGAUACCUUCUUACUGAGCUCCUCUCUACCCUGAAUGCAAGAGACCCUCAUAGCUAGGCAGGAAUAUUAUCACCCCUAUUCAUCAUGAAGAAGUUACAGAAGAUGGCUCUUCAUCCCUCUGAAACCCUUAGGGCUAAUGGUUCUCUUAUAAAAGGGAGGGGGGAAAUAUCAGAGGUGUGUGAACCAGAGCAACUCCAUCUUGAAUAGGAGCUGGGUAAAAUGAGGCUGAAACCUACUGGGCUGUAUUCCCAGAUGGUUAAGGCAUUCUAAGUCACAGGAUGAGAUAGGAGGUCACCACAAAAUACGGGUCAUACAUACCUUGCUGGUAAAACAGAUUGCAGUAAAGGAGCCAGCCAUAAUUCACCAAAACCAAAAUAGCGACAAGAGUGACCUCUGGUCCUCACUGCUACACUCCCACCAGUGCCAUGACAGUUUACAAAUGCCAUGGCAACAUCAGGAAGUUACCCUAUAUGGUCUAAAAAGGGGAGGCAUGAAUAAUCCACCCCUUGUUUAGCAUAUCAUCAAGAAAUAACCAUAAAAAUGGACAACCAGCAGCCCUCAGGGCUGCUCUAUGGAGUAGCCAUUCUUUUAUUCCUUUACCUUUUUAAUAAACUUGC
rnacentral:lncRNA from 1 species